UACGUAGGGUGCGAGCGUUAAUCGGAAUUACUGGGCGUAGAGCGUGCGCAGGCGGUUUUGUAAGACAGGGGUGAAAUCCCCGGGCUUAACCUGGGAACUGCGCUUGUGACUGCAAGACUCGAGUACGGCAGAGGGGGGUGGAAUUCCACGUGUAGCAGUGAAAUGCGUAGAGAUGUGGAGGAACACCGAUGGCGAAGGCAGCCCCCUGGGUCGAUACUGACGCUCAUGCACGAAAGCGUGGGGAGCAAACAGG
rnacentral:rRNA from 1 species